rnacentral:lncRNA from 1 species
AAUAAAUUAGUUAUUAUUAUAUUUCUUAGUUCAUGAUAAUCGUUUAUUAUCCAUGCUAUAAUUGUAUUGAUUGGAAACACAGUGCAUGUGUGGAUACAUAGACAAAACACUGUCCCUAGUAAGCCUCUAGUUGACUAGGUCGUUGAUCAAAAAUGGUCAAGGUUUCCUGACCAUAGGCAAGUGUUGUCACUUGAUAACGGGAUCACAUCAUUAGGAGAAUCAUGUGAUGGACUAGACCCAAACUAAUAGACGUAGCAUGUUGAUCGUGUCAUUUUGUUGCUACUGUUUUCUGCGUGUCAAGUAUUUGUUCCUAUGACCAUGAGAUCAUAUAACUCACUGACACCGGAAGAAUACUUUGUGUGUAUCAAACGUCGCAACGUAACUGGGUGACUAUAAAGAUGCUCUACAGGUAUCUUCGGAGGUGUUCGUUGAGUUAGUAUGGAUCAAGACUGGGAUUUGUCACUCCGUGUGACGGAGAGGUAUCUCGGGGCCCACUCGGUAAUACAA